GGGGCGUUAGCUCAGUUGGUAGAGCAGCGGACUCUUAAUCCGUAGGUCGAGUGUUCGAGUCACUCACGCCCCA
rfam:Paraburkholderia tropica strain P-31 P31_contig_44, whole genome shotgun sequence.